AUUUAUUUUUUCUUUUUUACUACUGUAUUUCCCAUCCACGUUUCCUAAAGAUGGUGGUGGUGUUUUAAUUGUUUUUUUCAGAUACAAUCUUGGCAGUCUUGGCACACAGAUUGAUGAAGAUGAGAAGUUCCACCAGCCUGAUAUCUUAGACCCAGUGUUACUUCUUUGCACUAGUGAUACGACCUUCAACUUUCAACUAUCAAACAGCAAAACCUGCAGCUCAUCAUAUCAAAGCUAUCCCUUGAACAACAGUGAUCUGCAUCAGUUCAACAUUGAGGAGAACGGAGGAACACCGUACACUGCAAAAAUGCCUGCAAGGCACCACCACCACCACCGUCAUCACCACCACCUCGCCAACUAUGGAGCCCUUGCUCCAGAGAGCAAAGACAUAGUUUCUGCUGUUCCAAACCCAAAC
rnacentral:lncRNA from 1 species